CAAUCUGACCAUAAAUCGCCUUGACACCAUGCCAGGGGACAGAGUGACAGAGUAUCGUGCAUCAAGCCCAACUGGUGACUGCCAGUCGAGGAGGUGCCGCCUUUCCAGCCUUUCCAGGCUAUCCAAAUACCUCAGAUGACGCAUAUGAAGGGGCGCCCCUGGAAGCAGCAGCCAUAGCCACAGAAACAACAGUCCACGCAGGACAUCAGCUAUCUGAUCCGUCUACCGCCAGACGAAUGUCGGCGAAUCUGCACCCAAGUCUGAGUGGCCGUCCUCAACUCUUUCGCCAUGUAUCUGGACCUGUCCGGCCGCCAGUUGGAUGUGCCGCAGCGCAAAUUCAAGGACUACUUCCGUAUGCCCGGGGAAGAGGAGGCACAAAAGGUGGACCGGGUGAUGGAGAUCUUCUCUAAGCGCUACUGCGUCUGCAAUACACGGUAUUCGAUCUGAAACCCAGUUUGAAGCCGGAGAGGCGUAUGCGCGUCGAGGACUUCAUCAAUAAUCUGCGGGGCAUCGACGAUUGCCACGACAGUGACAAGGACAUCUCAGCAGGGGUAUCUUCGAGCUCGUCAAGUCGGGCGAAUUCAAGAAGGGCAGCGACCACGUCACUCUUGUGUAUCGUGCAACUAAAAACAAUGGUCGGACAUGACGCACGUCUACCCAAAGUAUUAAUUAAAAACAUUUUUGUAGAGCCAAAACUACCAAAAACCUAAAAUAGUAAUAACGAUAAUAAUAAUAAUGCAAUAA